CCUACGGGAGGCAGCAGUGGGGAAUCUUGCGCAAUGGGCGAAAGCCUGACGCAGCCAUGCCGCGUGAAUGAUGAAGGUCUUAGGAUUGUAAAAUUCUUUCACCGGGGACGAUAAUGACGGUACCCGGAGAAGAAGCCCCGGCUAACUUCGUGCCAGCAGCCGCGGUAAUACGAAGGGGGCUAGCGUUGCUCGGAAUUACUGGGCGUAAAGGGAGCGUAGGCGGAUAGUUUAGUCAGAGGUGAAAGCCCAGGGCUCAACCUUGGAAUUGCCUUUGAUACUGGCUAUCUUGAGUACGGAAGAGGUAUGUGGAACUCCGAGUGUAGAGGUGAAAUUCGUAGAUAUUCGGAAGAACACCAGUGGCGAAGGCGACAUACUGGUCCGUUACUGACGCUGAGGCUCGAAAGCGUGGGGAGCAAACAGGAUUAGAUACCCUGGUAGUCCACGCUGUAAACGAUGAGUGCUAGUUGUCGGCAUGCAUGCAUGUCGGUGACGCAGCUACGACAUAAGUACGACUCCGCCGUCGGGAGGUACGGUCGGCGAAGUAAGUUAAAACGUUAAAAUUAGUUAAGUUAGUUACGGCGUGAGACGUUGCCGACGGACGACGACGAGGGAGGAGG
rnacentral:rRNA from 1 species